CCUACGGGGCGCAGCAGUGGGGAAUAUUGGACAAUGGGCGAAAGCCUGAUCCAGCCAUGCCGCGUGUGUGAAGAAGGCCUUCGGGUUGUAAAGCACUUUCAGUGGGGAAGAAAGCCUUGGGGCUAAUACCCUCGAGGAAGGACAUCACCCACAGAAGAAGCACCGGCUAACUCCGUGCCAGCAGCCGCGGUAAUACGGAGGGUGCGAGCGUUAAUCGGAAUUACUGGGCGUAAAGCGCGCGUAGGCGGUCUGAUAAGCCGGUUGUGAAAGCCCCGGGCUCAACCUGGGAACGGCAUCCGGAACUGUCAGGCUAGAGUGCAGGAGAGGAAGGUAGAAUUCCCGGUGUAGCAGUGAAAUGCGUAGAGAUCGGGAGGAAUACCAGUGGCGAAGGCGGCCUUCUGGACUGACACUGACGCUGAGGUGCGAAAGCGUGGGUAGCAAACAGGAUUAGAUACCCUGGUAGUC
rnacentral:rRNA from 1 species